GAGCAAGGGUCAGGUACCGGUGUGAGGAGGUGCUUGGCUUCCAGACGCCCAUUGACAGAGCUUACUGUGCCGUGCUGAGGAGCAACUUCCUGAGUGGGAGGGAGUCUGGCCGGACUCCCUCCCACUUCUCACCGGACUAAGGAUUUGACUCUCACAUCCUCUCUGUCACUCUGCCUGCCCUCGACUGUGUUCCUGUGGAAGGACCAUGCGGGAUUCUGCUAGAAACUCUCUGCUGCGAGACGAAACCCUACAAUUCCAGUCCCCAACAGCAAGGGCCUUAUCGAGAAGCCCUUGGACUACUCAGCAGACAUUGCUGGAAAAAGGUUUAGCAAUAGAGCACCACAGUGGGAUUUCUUGAGGAACAUGGACCACGACCAUGAAGGAAGAAGCUAUCUUGGGAUUCUAACUACAGGUAAUUUCCCACAGAGUUAAGGUGCCUUACUGCACAGGUGGGGGUGGUUUUCAACUCUCUCUGUGACAGGGUGAUGCAACUUCAGCUGUGCUUAAGAAGAUCCAUGGGGCCCAGAGAGAAGGUUGGAAUGGUACAUGCCCCUGAGUUGAGCUUCUCCUCUCUGACCUGAGCACCAGAAACUGCUAACCAACACACUCAAACUGGAAGUCUGUCCCUACGCUUAUACGUGGGAAGACAGCCUCCUGUGUUUGUAUACGAGGCUCUCUGAGUGAUGCUCCUCCCUUCUCUGGGUGGGUAUGGCCGGGGUUUCCAGGCUGAACUACAAGAAGCAACUUUACUUCUUACCACUGCAGACAAAAUCUAUUCCUUGCCGGGGGAAACAGGGUCAAGGGUUGCAGACUCCUCCCUUCGCUCCUAAUUGAAAAGCUGGUCCCAGGAAGACCAUAUUGAGAGUCAAGGCCCACAUCGAUGCAU